rnacentral:rRNA from 1 species
UCGAGAAUAUUCCGCAAUGGGCGAAAGCCUGACGGAGCGACGCCGCGUGCAGGAUGAAGUGCUUCGGUAUGUAAACUGCUUUUGUAGACUAGAAAGUUUAUUGAUCAGUCUAAGAAUAAGAGGUUGCUAAACUCGUGCCAGCAGCAGCGGUAAUACGAGUGCCUCGAGCGUUAUCCGGAAUCAUUGGGCGUAAAGGGUGUGUAGGCGGUUUGAUUAGUCUUUUGUCAAAUUCUUCGGCUUAACCGGGGGUCGGCAGGGGAAACGGUCAGACUAGAGGAUGCGAGAGGUUAACGGAACUCAUAGUGUAGCGGUAAAAUGCGUUGAUAUUAUGGGGAACACCAAAUGCGAAGGCAGUUAACUGGAGCACUCCUGACGCUGAAACACGAAAGCGUGGGUCGCG